rnacentral:rRNA from 1 species
GACGAACGCUGGCGGCGUGCUUAACACAUGCAAGUCGAACGGAAAGGCCCUGCUUUUGUGGGGUGCUCGAGUGGCGAACGGGUGAGUAACACGUGAGUAACCUGCCCUUGACUUUGGGAUAACGUCAGGAAACUGGGGCUAAUACCGGAUAGGAGCUCCUGCUGCAUGGUGGGGGUUGGAAAGUUUCGGCGGUUGGGGAUGGACUCGCGGCUUAUCAGCUUGUUGGUGGGGUAGUGGCUUACCAAGGCUUUGACGGGUAGCCGGCCUGAGAGGGUGACCGGCCACAUUGGUACUGAGAGACGGCCCAGACUCCUACGGGAGGCAGCAGUGGGGAAGAUUGCACAAUGGGCGGAAGCCUGAUGCAGCAACGCCGCGUGGUGGAUGACGGCCUUCGGGGUGUAAACCGCUUUCGCCUGUGACGAAGCGUGAGUGACGGUAAUGGGUAAAGAAGCACCGGCUAACUACGUG